rnacentral:tRNA from 1 species
GCCUGGGUGGCUCAGUCGGUUAAGAGUCUGACUUCAACUCAGGUCAUGAUCUCGCAGUUCGUGAGUUCAAGCCCCGCCUCGGGCU